GCGCUCGCUUCAGCAGCACAUAUACUAAAACUGGAAUGAUACAAAGAAGAUUAGCAUGGCCCCUGUGCAAGGAUGACACACAAAUGUGUGAAGCGUUCCAUGUUUUU